rnacentral:sRNA from 1 species
AAAAAAGGAUAGGGUAUUUUUCAAAUGAAAACUC